GUUAAACAAUUCCUCCAUCCCAGUUUGUUUUCCUUGUGAUUUCUCUGCUAGGUUUGUGGUUUUGAAUCCGUUGAUCGUCGCUGUUGAGAAUUUGAGUUCGGCCCAGAGAUUAUCCGUUUGAGGUUUUUUGAUUUGAGAUUCAGUUUUGUAAUUAGAAUUGGUGUUUCUCUCCUUUGAGGCUGCAGAGAUCGUUUGUUGAUAUGUCGGUUUUUGGUAUUUAUCCAUGAUUCUCGUUUGUAGUAUUUUGUGAAGAUGAGGUGAUGCCUUCUUUUGUGAAGUCGCAGUUUGUCCGGUAGCGAUCGGUUUUGGUUUUGAUUUCUCCUCUUAUCUUCUUCUGUUAUAUAAGUCUCACUCGCUUCCAGUACCUUCUGGCUUCGUAUCGUUGCUUUCUUUCCUUCAAUUGGUAAUUUAUUUGGAAUAUGUGAUAUGGAAUGUAGGCUCGGGGUUCUUUGGAGUUCCUUUUUCUGGUGUGAGGUUCGGUUUGCAGUUAGUUCUAUUUUUUCUUCUUUGUUGAUUGCUUGUAGGUCAGAUGUUUCCAUUGUUUGAUCAGGUCUGAGUAAUGAUUGUAGGAGAAUGAUUAGGGGCUUCCGGUGGACUUGAUGAUGAUUAUAGUGACUUCCGGUAGGUGAUUUCUUCACAUGAAAUUGCAGUUAGUACCUUCAUCCUAAACAUAGCCACGGUACCUUACCCACUAACUACUUUUUAUAAAUAUCCUGCCUUUGAGGAUUGUAACCUCUUGGUUUCUCGAUCUUUGUUCCUGCCUUUAAAAAAAUAUUUUUUUUUAAUUUGUUUCGAUUGAAAUUUCUUUUGUUUCCAAUAUUCAACAUUUAUGUUAACAUUGACAGCAGAUAAGAAGUUUGUCUUCAUUUUAUUUGAUGUCAAUCUCUAUUAAACCUGCUAUUCCUAUCAAGCUAUUGCUUCUGGUUUUUCGGAUUUUGCAAUUCUUCAACUGUGUGUUGGUGAGAUCCAUUCUAGAUGCAAUUUUUGGGGAAUCAACAUGCUUUCUAGUUUUGGACGAUUCUGAGGUUGCUGUGAGAUUCCUCUGUGCAAUUAAGUACUGUCUUUUUUUCCAUGGAUGGUAUUUGGAGUUGUAAGUUUUUCUGAUUUACGUGAGCUCCUCCUCCUGUUUUGAAAGGUGUGCUGGUGUACACUGAUUUGCCACGCUAUCUGAGCUAUCAAUCCCCUAAAUUCUCAGAGCAAAUUUCGCUCCCAUGCUGACUUGCAAUUUCAGGUAAAUGAUUCCGUGAUCUAUUCUAGUGCUGUGUUAGAAGUAGGGAACAACCACAGCGUGGAGACUACUGCUUGGAUAUGAUAUCUCGACUUUCAUCUUAUAUGCUAUUUUGAUGCGAAUAUCCUUUCAACUUUUUGGUCUGGUCAUCAGUGGAUUCCGUACCUAGGUGUGGUGUUAGUUGUCAAGGAUACAUAGAUGGGUUAUCUAAAAUGUGAUCCGUUCUCUCUACAGGCAUAAGUGUCUUACUUUGGUGUUUGUGAGGGGAAGAUGCAGAGCAGGUUCCCCCUUUGACUAUAGGUAUUGGAUAUUUUGCGACUUCAAGCUUUGUCAAGAUUUCUGUUAAAUGGAAGUUCUCAGCUACAAUAAUUCUUUUUGCCAGUGUGUAUAGUAUAUUCUGCUGCCAUUAGUUUUGAGUCCAGAUGCUCGGAUCUUCCAUUGGAUUCCAUGUUCCAAUGGACUGAUGGAUGUGUAGAGACCCCAUGGUGAAAUGGCAAAGGUCGGUUGUAUGCACCUGGGCACAUUUUUUCUUGGUCCUAUUUUGUGCUUGCACUGUAAUCCGGUUAUUGUCAGGCCUUGAAAACAGGGGGGACUUCCAAUCUCAUCUCUGGAAUAUCUAGUGAUUUCGUAGUUAGUAUGGGUUUCGCCAACUUUGCACUUGACUGUUGCCUUUUUCCUGUGCUUGCAGCUGUGGGUAGUCUCUGAGCAGUGAAUACUUCUUUUCGUGGAGCGAUUGUUUGGUUGUAAAUUGUCGGCUCUCUGUUACUAUAUAACUCGCUCACUACCGAUACCUUCUAUCAUCGUGUCGUUGCUUUCCUAUGAUUGGUAGUUUAUAUAUUUCAGUUUAUUUUGUCUUGAUUUUCUGUAGGUUCCUGAUUUGCUUUUCUUUGUUCGUCUCUGUUGAGAAGUUGAGCAUGGGCCAUGUAAUUCAAGCGGGUGAUCCGGGUUUGCGAGUUCUUUUUGAUUUUUUUUUUUUUUGGUGUCAGAUUCAGUUUGCAGUUAGUAUUGUUUUCUUUUUCUUCUUUGUUGAUUAGAGACGGUUGUUUGUAUGUCAAUGUUGCCAAUGUUCGAUAAGGUUCUGGGUAAUGAUCAUAGGAGAAUGAUAGGGACGUUUUGGUGGGUGAUUUCUUCUCAGGGAAUUGCAGCUAGUACCUUCAUCCUUCUCAUAGUCAUGGUAUUUCAUGGAUUCCCCUUUACAGAUAGCCGUUGAGGACUUUUUUUUUGUGCUAUUGGUUUCUGAUUUGCGUCCUUCAACUGUCAAUGCUAAGAAAUGAGCCUGGCUUGCUGGUGUGACCCAUUCUAGAUUGCACUAUUGGGGGAACCAAGCAUGUUUUCAGGUUUUGGGCCACUUCUGAGGUUUUGUUGUGAGAUUCCACUAUGCAAUUAGUUCCGCAUGGAUGCUGGGCAUGUUAGCCGUUGUGUUCCAGUUCUUUUCCCAGUAGUAAUGAUGGAUAUAAGGAUUAUUCUGUGUUUUCUGAUUUGCACGAGCUCCUCCUAUUUUGAAAAGGGAUGCUGGUGCAUACUGCUUUGCCACACAUUUGAGCUUCACUCUCCUCAAACCUCAUUAUCUUUGCUCCCCAUGCGGACUGGAUCUUCAGAUGAACAAGUCAGUGAUCUAAGCCUAUGUGUGAGAAGCAGGGAAUAAGUCCAGCAUGGAACUAUUGGUUUGGAUUUGAUAUCUUCCAUCUUAUAUGCUAACAAAUAUUGUCUUGUUCUCGCAUCAACUUCUUUUACCUUGACCGUCUCAAUGCUUAUUUGGUCCGAUCGUCGGUGGAUUUUAUUCCUAGGUUGUGUUAUUUUCAAGGGUGCAUGGAUGGGUAUCUAAGUUUUGAUCCAAGGGGUGCAAGUGGUUCUACAGGUGUAAGACGCUUUGGUGUUUGUGUUCAGAAAGAUGUAGAGCAAGCUCUCAGGUCUUCGAACAUAGGUAUCGGAUAUAUUGGUGUCUCUUAGUUUUGUCGAAACUGCUCUUAAGCUCUCAAUUAAGAUAAUUCUUUUCACAAGUGUGUAUAGUAUAUUGUGCUGUCAUUUUAGUUUUCAGAGAUGCUUAUGGAUGAGUCUCUUAUGGUAUGGACACCUGAAGAGUACUCAAACUCAUUCUGGAUCAUUUGAUAGCUCUGUGAAGUGCUCCUCUACUUUAUGCGCCUCUUUACUUAUCUUCUCCAUUUCCGUUUUCUUAUGUUUUUAUCACGUCGGUAUGAUUUUGUUUGUUGGAUGGAUGUGUAGACCACAGGGUGACAGUAGAUCACAUGGUCACAGUAAUAAGUAUUAGAUUUGGAAAUUUCAAAGGUUGAUGUCCAGUAUUUGGUGCUUGCUCUGUGACCUGGGUGUUGUCACGCUCCGAGAAAAGGGGUUUUUCCAAUCUUGUCUCUGGCAUCUCUAGUGAUUUCCUAGUUGGUUUGGGUUUAGCCAACUAUGCACUUAACUGUUCUCUUCUUUCUGUGCUUGCAGUUGCCGUGUCUUUAGAGAUGUGAUAUCUGCUUUCCACGACGCGCCCUUGUUUGUGGUGUGCAUUAAGGUUUCUUUUGUUCAGGGCGCUUUGAGUAUGGAAAUUUUCUGUUCAGUUUUCUUCCCUAAUCUAAGUGGUUUCCUUCUCUCAUCAUAUGCUCUUAGAGAUCGUGCUCUUCUAUUAGUUAUGCUCUUAGAGCUCUUCUAUUAGUUCUUUUGCAGAAAAUGUAACAUGUCCGUGGUGAUUCCAUUGCAUGGUGGUGGGUAUUUGAUUAUUUUCAUUCAGCUUUUGGUUCUUUUAUUUGGUGAUUUAUCUGCAGCCGCAAUUGAUUAUUUCCAUUUUAAGGUGUAAUCAAGCUCUGCCAGCAGUGUCUAGAUUCAACUUGCAGUAUUUGUAGGGCUACCGUGCUGUCAUCCUUAUCUGACGUUAAUGAUCAGCAGAAGAGAGAGAUUUUGGAUAUCAUAGGUUUUGACCAGUCAUUAUCUUUACUAGUAUUAACAAGUCCGUCAUCAAUCCUACCCAUAUAUAUCACAAGUAGGCCAUGACAUCAGUGUGGAUGGAGCUAUCAGUUUGGUUUGAGAUCUUGACUUUCAUCGUAAUGUUAAUAUUGAUGCUAGUAGUAUCUUUUUCUCGCACCGACUCUUUUACCUUCACUUGUAGUGCUUAUUUGUUUCGUUCAUUAGUGGAUUUCAUUUGGUGUUACUUGUCAAAGGAUACAUGGAAUAGGUAUCUAAGAUUUGAUCCAGUGGUGUAAGUGGUUCUGAAGAAAUAAGUGCCUCCUUGCUGUGGUGUUUUUCUUUGGGAAGAUGCAGAGCAGGUUUUCAGGUCUUGGACUAUAGGUAUCGGAUAUUCGCGUCUCACAACUUUCUCAAAACUUGUAUUAUAUGGAAGCUCCCAGUUAAGUUGAUUCUUUUCACAAGUGUAUGUAUUCUGCUUUCAUUUUUAAUUUUUAUUCCAGAUGCUUAUGUCUGUGAUGAUCCAAGCUGAUGAGAUCUCAUGUCCUUAAGGGAUGGCCGGAUGGGUACUCAAAUUUGCAUCUUUUGAUAGCUGCAUAAAGUGCUCUUCUUUUGGUGUUCUUGCUACUUACCUUCUCUGCUUCCAUUUUCUUUUGUUCAUCACACCAGCUUUAUUUUGUAUGCUGGACGAUGUGUAGACCAGAUGGUGACAGUGAGGAUUAGAUUUUGAAAAUCCGAAGUGGUGUCCAAUAUGGUGUUUGCUCUGCACCCUGUAUUUUGUCAGGCUUCGAGGAAAGGGGUUUUUUGAUCUUAUCUCUGGAAUCUCCUUAAUUUUCCUUGGUGGUAUCAGUUUGCACUCAACUGUUCCCUUCCUUCUGUGCUUGCAGUUUCUGGGCCUUAGAGCAGUGAAUUCUUCUUAUGGAGUGCUCUUGUUUGUUGAUUUGCUUUAAGGUUUCUUUAGUUCAGGCAGAUCUAGGUAUCAAGAUUUUCAAUUCAAUCUUCCCUCCUAAUCAGAGUGCUUCCCUUCUCUCAGCUUUGGCUCUUGAUAGUGGUGCAUUCUAGUAGGUCCUUUUGCAGGAACUUUAACAUGUCCGUGGUGGUUUCCAUGCAUGGCAGCGGGUAUAUUGUUUUUUUGGUUCUUAUAUUGAGUGAUAUAUCUGCAGCCAUAAUCAAUUACUUAUAUUCUAUGGUGUGUACUUAUGUCUGAUCAAGCUCGUGCCAGCAAUGUCUAGGCGUUCGUGCAAUUGGCAACCCGUGUAGGGCAACCUUAUUGUUUUCCUAGUCUGAAGUUCACAGUCAGAAUAUAUUAACUAGAAGAGAUACAUUUUAGCAUAUGGCUGGUAAACGGGGUUUCCCCUUUGUUAAUAAAUUUUUACACUUGACAAAAAAAGUGAGUGACAUUUCAAAUCUAACAGAUUCCGAUCAAUUGAUGUCUUCACCAGGUAGUACUGCUCAUAGUUUUUGAUCAGUUCGUUUGUAGAUCUGUGUUGAAACUGUUUGCUAUCGGGUAAAUGAAGCCUCUUUGUUUGUAGAUCUCUUUUGAAGCAUGCAUAUUAUGUUUUAAAUAUUCGCUCAUUUGAUGACUUGCUUCUUUUGCUAUUAUGUAGAACUUUUUGUGUAAGAGAGAUCUCCUUCACAUUUUUUCUCCACAGAACAUUUCCACUUGAACAAAAAGAUCUCGAUUAAUUGAUUCUAAAAUUCUCUUAUUUUAAUUUUCUAAAUGAGUGCAAGGUAAUUAUUUUGUUCUUCGUAAUAGAUGUUCACAAGAAUAUAUAUCUUUUGGAACCUUUGUGAAUCUACCACAUAUGUGAUCAUCGUGCAAGGUGGCAAGUUUUUCAAAAUCUUAGUUUAGAGUUGGUUAGCUUUCUUUUUAAUACUUCCAAAUUAGCUUGUAAUAAUUUGCUUAACAAUGUUGAAUCAGCAUUGACUAAUAGGCAAUCGUUGUGCCAUUAUUCUCUGUUGUCCUGCUACGCUGUGGAGGUAUGUUUAGUCGAUUGUCACUUCACAACUAGUAUGAUCAGCCAAAUUUCACUUCACAGAUAUGUCAAUUUGGAUCACCGUCAAAGGCUCAGGUUAUCCCUCAAAUGCACGUGGCUGGUUUCUAUGUAGACCCACCAGGACCAGUUUUUUCUCGCUUUACUCUAUAUUAUUUUCCAACUCGAGCAACAUGCCACUAUUUGCUCUGCUUUCUGUAGAUGUGGUCACAAAUCUGUCAAUUUGGAUCACCGUCAAAGGCUGGGGUAUCCCUCAAAAGAACGUGGCUGGUUCAUAUGUAGAGCCACCAGGCUCAGUUUCUUUCCACUCUACUCUAUUGUUAUUUUCCAUCUCGAGCAACGAUGAGACAAUAUGCUUUGUUUUCUGUAGAUGUGGUGUGAGCUAGCAAGAUGGCUGAGUUAGCUUUUGGUUUCAUUACAAACUCCAACUCUGGGUUAGCUAUUCGUGUUCUCGCAUACUAUUCUAGUUUGGAUUAUUUUCUUCCUACAGGCGUAAUCUCAUAUGUGUCGCUAGGGUGAUGCUGCCUCCUCCAUUGAUCGAGCUAUGAGGGUGCACAGUACAAGGUAUCAAGGCAUUGUGAUAUUGGAGCUGUUGGUUACAACUUCAUAGCUUGGUCACUUCGUUGUCAAUGAUGUUUUAAACCAGUUAUAGUUCAUUUCUUAUUUCUGAUGUCGUUGUCCUUUGGUUUUUUGGACUUCUUGUAUUGUUGAUUGAUUAGGUCUUGAAUAAAAUAAAGGAGAUCUUCUAGGAAUUGUCUAACAUCCCUUUUUGAAGAUGCUGCCGUCUUUGCCUUUAUUCAUAGAGUAUAUCGCUCCAUUCCCCUGUUGCACUUCUAUGUAUGGUAUGUGCGCUUUUCAUAUGGCACGACUAUAGUGGAGUUAUUCCCAUUUUAUCUUCUCCUCUAUAUAUUUAUGAUCUCUAUUCCACUGGGCUUUGAUUUUCUCUGUUGCUGCAUCAUCAGAUGUAGGAAACAAGAUUUUGGUGAAGAGAGUUGAGCUAUGAUUUUUGGCAUUCAUGUGCUGAGGAGUUUUUUCCAAAACCUGUUUUGGGUAUUUUUUGGUGUGAUGCAGUUUCAAUUAUCUCUAGAGGUCGUCGGUGGUGAGUCAACAUGUGUAAGAUCUUUGCAGUUUCAUUUAGUUCUGCCUUCUUUCUCCCCCUUCCUUGAUGGUUAGAGGUGUUUGGUGGUGUGAGUAACCAUGUGCAAGGUCUUAAGCAGGUCCUACAUAAUACGCGAAUGAGAAUGUUCUGGUUUUUUUAUUUGAUGGUAUGACUCUUGUUGUGGAUCUCUUCUCAUGGCCGAACAUCACUAGUGGUGAAUUUCAUAUGAAUUCAUAUGUAGAAGUUGCAUAACCGUCCUGUAUGUUUCAAUAUGCAAUUAGGCGAGGUGGCUUUCGUAUUAAGCUUCAUAUGGUCCCAGAUGGAUUGGUUAAUUUGGCAAGUGAAGGAACUUAGGCUACUUAAAGAGGGACAAGUUGUUUGCUUGGGUGAUGUUUAUGCCUCACUUCGUAGUUACUUCAAUGUUCCUUGAUAUCUUUUAUCUAAUUUAUGAAGUAGCAGAAAAUUUGGCACCUGCAUAGUCGUAUGUACUUGGUAGAUGCUGUAUGUCAAAGAGCUUAGGUGGGUGGAAUUCCUUCGUAGCUUUCUACUUUUUUUGGGUAACAGUUUCUAAAAAUGUUGUGCUGGAGUUAUUUUCUGGUGGAGAUUGCUUCAGUGACGAUCUGUAUGGGAAGUUUUAGCUGGUUGCAAAACAUUGAUUUCAGGAUAUAUCCUGUGCUUGCUUUUUACAGGUAUUUCAAUAUUUCUGAAUUAGAGAAUCUGAUUUCUGGAUAUUAUAUAUAUAGUUGUCUCAAGGUGCUAUGAAAUUGCGAACUAUGUGUUUUCAAGUAACUUUUUCAUGGAAUGAACAUACUGGUCAAUCCCUCCUCUCGAUGCAGUUACCCCGUAAGCAAUCUUUCAAAAAGACUAGGACAUAACAUCUAUCAAGUAAGGUUCUGUUCUGGGCUGGUGCCAUGACAUUUUUACAUUUAGCUGCUAGGCAUCUUCAAAUUAACAUCUCGUCAGCUGAAGUCAUGUUCUGCUUUAACUAGCCAGGUCGCAGAAGUUGGCUAGUUCUCUUGAAGUCCUAUGGGGAAACAAUAUUUUCUUCCCCGUGAAUGUUCCAUUGCAGUCAAGGGGGCUCUGCUUUUCUGUAUCUGCUGGAAUUUCUUCGGAGGAACUUUCAUAUCAUAUCUGCUAUUGUUGCCAUUGUUGCAUGAUGAUUCAGGUCCUAGAGGGGCAGGGAGUUAGCAGGGUGAACUCCAUAUCUUGUUUAGGGAAUUUUAAGUGCUUUACGUGGUUAGGCUGGGGGCCAGUUAGUGCUACCACUGGUUGGAUGUUCAUUUUGCUCACAUAGUUCUGCUUGUACAACACUCCUUUACUUUUAAGGUGAAAGGAUGGAAACGAGGAGGACAUAGUACCAUGUGCUCUUUCUCCUGAGGUAUGCAAUGAGGUGCAAGUGUAUGUGCUGUCAAUUGAGCUUUUUGGGUCCGAGGGAGCCUGUCAUAUUUUCUCUCUUUGGAAGGAAAGAUAUCAGCCUUGUACGAGAUAAACUUAUUUCACCAAAUAGAUAAAAAGAGAACGGACACCCAGCUUAUAGGUUUUGUGGUUUGAUAUACCAAUGAUGUAGUUGAAUGUAAAUGUGAUUUCAUGUCAUCUUCUUUUGAGAACCUUGGACGUGGUAUUAUGCAAUGUUCUCGUUGGUAAAGGGAUCUCACAGUGGGGGAAUUUUUUUACCUGCAAUUUGCUUUUUUGUUUCCUGCUUGUUUUUUAAAGUAAAAAAAUAGUAAAUAAUUUUUUUUUGUUUCCUGCAUAUGCUGAAGCAAGGCGCUGUGGAUUGAUUUUGUUGCUUUAAACACGGGUUUUUUAUGUGGGAUAAUCUGAUUGAUUUUUUUGCUCUAAUUGAGGGUUUUUAAUGUGGAAGUGAUCUCUUUUGGAAGUUUCAGUUUGUGAGGGAGAUUCACUAGAGGGAGUUUGCUUAGGUAUACGGGAUCUCCUAGGAUGGUGGGUCUUUUAUCUUUGUUUUCGUAGGCAUGUUGUGAAGAUUUGCUUCAGUAUGCUGGAAGGUUUUGAGUUGUGAGAAUUUCCAAGAUAGUAUUUACAACCUUUUCCACCACAAUGGCUUUGCAUCUCGAUUUGACUGGUGAUUUUGUCCUUUAUUUCUUUCAAUUAUGAAUGUUACCUAGAAGGUCAUUCCCAAGUCUAAAUUUUAUUGGUUCCGAUUCUUUUGGUCUUGUGAUUGAAUCGUGAAUUUAUCCUACAUUCUAUCCUAGACAGUCAAUCCUGUGUCAUUUUGUAUCCCUAAGUACAGUCAUUGACUUGUAUCCAUUCUUCAACAAUUCCGCCAAUUUGUCCCUUUUAACCUAGGAGGUCACUGCUCAGUCUGUUCCUCCCAGUAUUUAUUUUCCUUCUAUAUAAUCCAAACUUAUUUCCAGGUUGUUCCUUGGCUUGGAGUGUUCGCGUUUGAGUUAAUGCAUUUUAUUGAACUGUUCUGGUUGUUCUAUGAUCAUGUCUUGUCUUGACACCAACAGUAGUUUGGCCUUGUGUUUUCUCUUGUAGCUUAGGUCUACUUACUGCUACAUUUUGUGUUUAGGUGACCCUUGUAACUCCGCCUGUCUAAACAGCCGGUCCCAAGCCCGGAUUAAGGAGGGGGGAAGGUGUCAACUGUUCAAUUAGUCAAUCUGUUCUUUUUUAAUCAAUAGAAAUGAUUUCUGGAGCUGCCUUUGACUGUAACAAACUUAUUAUCCUGCUUCUUCAGUGAGAAAGGAUUCACCAAUGUUUUUGAUGAUAUAAGGCGCAGUCUCUUACAUAUGCUGCAAUUUAUUUGACGAUCCAUCUUCACACUGAAAAUAUUGUUUCGUUAUUGAUGGUUUCCAACUCGAUAUUUACAGAGGUUUGGUGUUUAGCUGACAGCGUAUGGAUAUGUUUUGUCAGGGUUUGUUUUCUACAUAGUUGAUGACCCAAUAUAUAUCCUCAAAAGAUAGCUGAUACUCCUUCCCUAGCUGCAGUAUAAUACUCUUCAAUUGUUUGUUAUUUCUUGCUGGUUUUUCUUUUGUUUUGGCUGAAGCGCUGAUGCGUUUUAUGUACAUCUAGGUAUCAGUUUGCAAGGGUAAACUGUUUCAUUGUGUGCAGACUACCUCCGGAAUCUGCUUUCCUUCCAUGUCUACUCCAAUUUAUUUAUGAUCCACCUUUGCGUUUGAUAAUUGUUUCACGAUUGAUGUCUACGAAUCAACAUAAUACUCUUCAUCAUUUGCUAUUUGCUUUUGAGGUUUUCAUGAAUGCUGAAGACUACGUGCAAAUACCAGUUUGCUGUGGUGAUCGAACUUCUUAUCAUUGGCAAGAUUUGGAAAUGAUAGACAUGUGUGGUCUCUAUGGUUGCGUGCGGACACGUCCGAAUUUUCAGAAUGGAGGGAUUGUAGUAUUUGCAAUGAAGAGGGAUAGUAUUUUUUUUUUCCAAGUCUACUCUAAAUGUAAUGAUGAUCCAACUUUGCAUUUGAAAAAUCUUCCAUUAUUAUCAGACGUCCCACUUAAUUGUCAACUAAAUAAGGGGUUUGUGUUUGCAUUUGCCGCAACCCUUAUAUAUUCUCAUAAUCUUUAAAAAUUUCUUGCCUGCUUGCAACAUAAUAUUCUUUGCUAUUGCUUGUGUGGUUUAAUAUUGAUGUUGCAGAUAUUAUCCAAUUUCAGCUUGCAAUGUUGUAAUUAAACUGACAUAGAAUGCUGUGCCAGAUGGUAGUGUUUGGCUGAUAAGUCCUUUCAUGUGAGUUCCUGUUCAAACAGUAUUUUAACAGAGAGAUAGAAGAAUGGAUUCAAAAGCCCCUUUAAUAUCGUGCAACUUACCGUGGGGCAGCAGGUACUCUAAACUCCUGUUUCAAACAAUAGUUUAAGGUGAGUUACUUCUUGUCACUUGAGCUUUUUUUUUGGGUGUCUUGAAUGUCUAUUCAAAAGCAUUGAAUGCCAUGAGACAUAUUUCCUCAGGUUCCUCAGGAAGGUCAACACAUACCCAAGGAAAUAUUAUGUUAUAGGCUGUACCUUGAUCUCGAUAUAGAAUGACAUGCUCAAAUUGUGACAUUUGGCUUAUUAUUCCUUUCAUGUACAUACUUGUUUCAAACAAUCUCUCAGUUAUGAGAUAAACGAUGAAUUUGAAUGUCACCUGAUGCCUUAUGGCUUAAUGUAUCUGGGGCGUUCUAAGCUUAGGAUGUGAUCGGUCCGUGCUGUUAGGUGAACUUUGUUCUUUUGCCUUUUGGACGUCCAUAAGUUGUUUGUUCUGGAAGUAUACCUAAUUAGUAGGUCUGUGAUCGUAAAGCUACUAUAGAAGUCAAAGGCGCUAAAAAAUAGGGCCGCCUACACAUCGUCCGCUAAAUUGGGUGUUUUCAUAGCCGACAACACAAGGAUGAGUGGAGAGGACAGAUUACAGUUUGCUUGUGUUAUCUUUGUGAAAGGGCCCUCGAAUGAUGAUCAUAUCCUGGUCCACAACGUUUUAUGCUGUUGACUUAGCAUCAAGGGUCUUCAACAUUAAUUCGGAUAUUGAUUUAUUUUUAGAACACUUCAUAUUUAGAAAUCACAUACAAACAUUACAAUUUUAAAGUAAAAAUAUUUUAAAAGUAAAUGAAAAAUCAUAGCAUAAAUUUGUUGAUCCCCUGGAGGUAGUAAUGAUGGCGCAUAAAGUGGGACAGGAGUACAACUAGUGAGAGAAUUUAGAGUUUGGUCCGAAGAGUAAGAAAUUGUUGGUGCGAAGAUGAAAUUUUAUUUUUGGUAAAUUUUUGGUAAUAGUUUCACCAAUUUGGUGUUAUUUAGUGACAGAUCUUGAUUUAUCAACAAACUAGUACUUGGUCGCGAUACCUUCAACUGAUGCAUUAUCGUUGUACAGGUAUUUGCUUCUUUCUUUUUUGGAUAACUGAGAAGUCCCCAAGGGUCAGUUGGCUCAUUGUUUGUAACUCAGUGGAUAAUUGACACGUCUUCCAGAAUCUCCAUUAACAUGUUGGAUGCCUAAACUGUGAUUUUAUUCAACUUAAUUUUCAGCCUUCAACUUCUUGUGUUUUUAUUUUCUUCUAAAACUGAGCAAUAUGUUCUUUCACUUUUCAAGUUUGAGAAUAAUGGGCCUGCUCUUGUACCUUCCGAAUGCGUUAUGUAUUCUCGUUGCCCAUCCUUCACUGUACUGCUUUUAUCAGUGAACCUGUUACAUCCCGUACUUUUAAUACGUUAAGUUACGUCAUGAGUUAGUCGUCAUAAGCUUGGAGAGAUAGGCUUAUUCCUAAGCUUAUAAGUGAUUAUGACUAUGUUUAGCAAGUGUCAAAAGGGUUAGAGGUUAAUGGAAUCGAAGCGAGUGGAUUUUCGCAAUUGACUUAUGGACCGUACAUUGGAGGUACGAGCCAAUAUUAUAACCCAUACUUUUGGUGUAAUACUAGGAGUGCUUAACAUGCUAAGAAGAUCGUGUUAUGAGGUACUUGAGUCGUAUAAUAAUCGUAUAUUAAGUGUUGAAGUCAAGUAAGUUGCAUAAUAAAAGUUUGCAAAAGUUAUCGCAAGUUAUGUUCAUAAGUUUACUGAAAUUUGGGUCUGAUAUCACUGAGCUUUUCUCCCAAUAUACUUGGAGUUACGAGGUUGAUCCACCCACCAAGUUGAAGGUCUACGAGUCUAAUUUCCAUCAUAUGCGUGUUUUAGCCGGACUGCUGAGGCAGCCCACUGGGACCCACAUAGGCGGUGGAGAUUAUUUUUGAUGUUAUAAAGUGAUGCAGCCUUUUCCUCUCCUCAUUUUUCAUCCAAAACAGAACCUUAAGCUCCUAAAUGCUCUCAAAGCAUUUCCAUAUCAUUCAAGCAAAUCCUACCAAAGUUUUGAGGUAAUUCUUCCUUCGGAAUGAUUGUAGUACUUGUGUAAGCUUAGUUCUCGCUUGUUGUUAUUGAGCUGGAGAUUUCUGUAGGCUGAAGCAAGGUGUCUAAGGGCUGGAUCUUGUUGUAUAAGGUGAGAUCUUCUUCUCCUUCAUGUGUAUUAUUUAGUUUGAGCUUUUGAUGUGCUUAGAUGAUACAAGUUAACGGUCAAAUGUUGUAGUUGAGUUGAGGGUUGUUUAUAGGACGUUUUGGAGUUGUUCUUGUUGCUUUUGAGGUACUGGUUUUUUUUUUUUUUUUUGAUAAUAAAUGUGAAAUAUUGCCAUUAACAAACCAAAUUAAUACAUCUCAUAAGCACCUAUAACUGCAGUUCAUAAAACACUACAGUUGAGGCCUCCAGUAAACUAGACAGCAGAACAAAAAAACCCAUAUGAUAGUUACAACUCACUACCCUCUAGUAUUGGAACUCUAAUUACAUAACUUGUGAAGUAAUUGUUUGUAUAUCCUUUAACCUAUGUCUGAGCUCCUUUUUUAUCUGUGCAGUAGAUUCACAUUAGUGUUUCUGAUUAUGUUCCAGUUCCUUGCCUGCCAUGUGUUACAGAUCACUGCCUCCAUUAGCUGUCACUACUUUCUUCAUCUGCUUCCAUUUUUUACUCUUUAACCAUUGUAAGCUUUGUGUCACUUUCCUUGCCAUCAGUUGAAUGCCCGCCCAUUUACUUAGCUCAUUCCUUGACUCACUUAUACACUCACAAUCCACAAACCAGUGUUGCAUUGUUUCUACUGCUCCAUUGGCUCUUGGAAUCACAUUCAGCAGUGGUUGGAAUAGCUCGCAAAAUCCAACCACUUCACCUACUUCAUUGCCCCCAACCCUUUUUCGUACCUCUAUUGAAACAGAAUGGUUUCAUGUUCUUUCAUCGAUUGGUUAUUCCUCUCCGUUCGUAUCUCUUUUUCCAAUUUCGGUCUUGAUUAGUUCACAGGAUUGAUGGCCAAUUCUCCUCCGAACCCUCGAUUCAAUUGUUUUCCUGCCAGUGAUAUGUGCAAUUUUUGAAGUCUCUCUUUUGUAAGCAAUAUGUUUUGAUUAGCCAGCCAAACUACGAACCUGUGCUUUGGCUGCAUUGCUUUAUUCCAUACUAGAUCAGCAACCUGACAUCUCUCAAGCCCAGACAAUCGUGCAUUGUAACUUUUAGUUACCAAGUAUUGUCCGCUAGGUGUAAGUGUGAAUGUGUCAUUCUGGUACCACUGCUCCAUUAUAGCCUCAAGUGCAUUUUGUUUUCUCCAGUAGCAACUGCUGUCCACUGAGGGCUAUGGUUCCCAAUACUGUCAUUUUACUUUAUGUAUAUACCAUGCACCCACCUCGCCCAUUGUAGGUCUUUUUCUCAUUUAGCUGCCAGAGUAAUUUUCCCACUGAGGUUGCAUUCCGAUUGCUGCAUGCUUUUAUGUAUGGUUGUUGUUGUUAUUCUAAACUUGAGGAAUGAAAAGGCAAGAGGGGAGAUGCUGUCCGGCUUAUCGUAUAACGAGCUUGUCGCUCAUUAGCUAGUUGGUAUAUUUCUCUUGUUGAUACUAGUGUUAUUUAAUUUGUUGUAAAAUAGUUGGGAAGAAGUUGAUUCCAUUGUCAUCGUUGAAGGCUCGGUUUCAAAGGUAUGUUAGGGCUAUUUCUUUCUUUCUUUAGCACAAAUUCCAAACAAGUUUCCUUCCAAGUGUGAUUUGGAGAAGUAGAACCUCAUAGAUGUUCUUUCGUGUGUCCGAUGAUUCCAUGAACGUUCUAUUUUGUACUGCUCCGAUAAGAUGAGUUUCAUAUGAUUAUUGGUAGUCUUUUCCUUCUCCUAGAAAGUGUAUAUUAGCCAUAUCGGUACCCUCAAAAAGACUUCUGUAACUCGACGAAUGUUAGUUGGAGUUGACAUGAGAACUUUAUGUGCUUUGUAUUGUUGUAUGUUAUGAUAGGCAUUAUGAACAGGUCCAGUGGCAUGGUAGUUACAUGUGUGCUAGCCUGGAAGAUACGAGUUUGGUAACCUGAUAGUUAUGGACUUGCUAGUCCGGGAGAUAUCUGCUCGAUAAUUCACUAAUUUGGUAGCUAGCACAUACGUACGAGAUCAUAUUGUGAUAUAGUGGAGUGAUUGUUGUGUGAUCACGCAACUUGUGUACUGUAGAUUUAGAUGAUGUGUGUGUUGGUUUGUGUAUUACUCCCAUAGGCUUAGAGUAACGAGAUUACGACACGUAUCGAGGUUGGUAAGAGUAUAGUAUAUGCCUUGCACGUUACCCUGUUACUUGAGAUACACGUUCAGUUGUUUCCUUCAGCAUUCCUUCAUUUGAGUUCUGUACUUACAUUUGAUUAUCCUUCUUCAUAAGGUAGGGGUAAGGUCUGCGUACACAUUAUCCUCCCCAGACCCCACGUGUGGGAUUGCACUCGGUUUGUUGUUGUUGUUGUUGUUACUUACAUUUGAUUAUCCAGUUGCCUUACAUAUUCAGUACAUUCUUUGUAAUGACGUCCCUUUUAUGGGGGGGCUGUGUUUCAUCCUGCAGGUUUGGAUAGACUGACUGACGAACCUCCAUAGUAAGCAGUUUCAGAGUUCACAUUAACAGUUAAGAUCAACAGCCAUCCAACACUGACUUCUGUGUCACAUAUUCCUGGUCUGCUUGAAAGACUAUUUGAUGGGAGAACUAUUAUUGUUCUAGGUCGUCUAAGGCAUGUGCACUGGACAACAUUUUGGGGAUCGGCACUGUAUUGACAAAUGCGUAAGCUCCUUUUUCUCAACUCCCCAUAGUAGUUGUUCGUUCUUUUUCCCUUUAUUCUCCCUAGUGUGAUUUGGGGAAAGGGAUAAGAAGGUUGAGGGUUGGAAUGCAAAAGUUGAGACCUGUCCAUUGGUGCCUUCCUUCCUCUAUGUUUAUUCUAUCUUUUAUUUUUUGGACCCUUACAUGUCUACCCAACAGCUGAUAAAAUUUACAGGUCACUGCCUCAGAGUUUUCAAUUUACUAACAGUCCCUUUACAUUAUUAAACGAGUUGGUUGAUAAGCCUACUGGAAAGACGCUGCUAACAGUAGCGAAUUGGAUGAAGAAUGGCUUUGAAUCCCUCUUUUUCUCACUAUCCACGUCCAUGUCCUGCUCUUCUCAUACAGAAUCUACAUGGAUUUUAUGGUUUCUUUGUUUCUUGCAACCCCUUCACUCUCUUUGCUUUUCUUCUGUUCUCUAGAAUUUGGUUUUUGUUGAUUUGGUGAGGAGACAUGGGGAGCAUUGGGAGUGGAUCAUCUCACAGAAAUACUUGUUCACUAUAAUCAGAUGGUAACUGUAGGAACAGUGACUACUCUGGUUAGGCCUAUUUGGCACUUCCCUAUGUAGAUAAAAUUUUAUGCCUUGUAGUUAUUUACUGCUACCCAGAUUUCACUUGUGGAAUUAUAUUGGAUAUAUUAUUGUAGUUAUUUAGUGCUAUCUGCAUUUUCUUAC